GGCGGAGACGCAGCGGUCCAACUGCUGAAGAGUCUCCAUGUGACUGAGAGCUGGGUCCCAGCUCCAGGCGCCGCCCGACUUUGGUCCUCGACCCCAAGCUCUGGACAGUGUCCCGGAGCCAGUAGACAGCAGGACGCGGAGGACGCUUGGUGUUUGGCCGGGCCGCCAGAGGACUUGGGGUGCGGAGUGAAUUGCCGCCUCUGGGGCAGGUGCCUAGGGACCCAGCCAAGACCCCGGAGUCUCCAGACGAGGCGGAGCGGCGAGGCGAGCGGGGAUUUCUGUCAGUGCCGGCGUCCCCGAGCGCGGAGUCAUGAACGGCUUCACGCCUGAGGAGAUAAGCCGCGGAGGGGACGCGGCCGCUGCAGUGGCCGCGGUGGUCGCUGCCGCUGCCGCCGCCGCUUCGGCCGGGAACGGGGCCGGGACGGGUACAGGAACGGAGGUGCCCGGCGCCGGGGCAGUCUCGGCGGCUGGGCCCCCAGGAGCGGCCGGGCCGGGACCCGGGCAACUGUGCUGUCUGCGGGAGGACGGUGAGCGGUGCGGCCGGGCGGCAGGCAACGCCAGUUUCAGCAAGAGAAUCCAGAAGAGCAUCUCCCAGAAGAAGGUGAAGAUUGAGCUGGAUAAGAGCGUAAGGCAUCUUUACAUUUGUGAUUAUCAUAAAAACUUAAUUCAGAGUGUUCGAAACAGAAGAAAGAGAAAAGGGAGUGAUGAUGAUGGAGGUGAUUCACCGGUUCAAGAUAUUGAUACUCCAGAGGUUGAUUUAUACCAAUUACAAGUAAAUACACUUAGGAGAUACAAGAGACAUUUCAAACUACCAACCAGACCAGGACUUAAUAAAGCACAACUUGUUGAGAUAGUUGGUUGCCACUUUAGGUCUAUUCCAGUGAAUGAAAAAGACACCUUAACAUAUUUCAUCUACUCAGUGAAGAAUGACAAGAACAAAUCAGAUCUCAAGCAUCAUCAUUGGAGGCCUCACAGUAGUGCCAAUAGCACUAUGAAGAUGUCACAAACAAAAAAUACGUGUCAACAUUGCCAAAUAUUCCUUGGGGGGCAAAGUCACCCCUGGCUAAGAACCACUGAUGUAGCUAAAUAUAAAGUACUGGUUCAUUAAAAGGUGAAUAAAGUACAAAGAGAGUGAGUGGGAGGACUUGCCGCAGGAGCAACAAAGACCAAUAAGACUGAAUUGUGGUUCCUCUGACUCCCAUCUCUUGAACUGAGCUUAAAUCCUUCUGGAGUCACCGAGAGUGGCAGUGUGGGAAGUAGCAGCCGGUUCCAACCUUCAGGGUCCCUCCCAGGAGAGAGGCAGGACCUGUGUUAUGCACACGUCUUCCUAACCUCCCCUGCGAGAACAACAUGCCUUAGAGAGGCGUUGUCCUUUCAACCCUGGCUCCUGGAAUGAGAUGAUACAGGGAUCUGAGCUGAAGCCAGCUGAGCUGAGCCCAUCAGAGUCACACCUGGCCCACAGGUAACCUGCAACCCUCAUGAAAUGUAACAAAAA